GACGAACGCUGGCGGCGUGCUUAACACAUGCAAGUCGAACGGAAAGGCCCUGAUUUUGUGGGGUGCUCGAGUGGCGAACGGGUGAGUAACACGUGAGUAAACUGCCCUUGACUUUGGGAUAACUUCAGGAAACUGGGGCUAAUACCGGAUAGGAGCUCCUGCUCCAUGGUGGGGGUUGGAAAGUUUCGGCGGUUGGGGAUGGACUCGCGGCUUAUCAGCUUGUUGGUGGGGUAGUGGCUUACCAAGGCUUUGACGGGUAGCCGGCCUGAGAGGGUUACCGGCCACAUUGGGACUGAGAGACGGCCCAGUCUCCUACGGGAGGCAGCAGGGGGGAAUAUUGCACAAUGGGCGGAAGCCAGAUGCAGCAACGCCGCGUGCGGGAUGACGGCCUUCUGGUUGUAAACCGCUUUCGCCUGUGACGAAGCGUGAGUGACGGUAAUGGGUAAAGAAGCACCGGCUAACUACGUG
rnacentral:rRNA from 1 species